rnacentral:lncRNA from 1 species
UCCAUCCAUAUCAGUAAACACGAAUGAACAAAGUACCCAUUCUCCAUUCAAAUCUGUCUUCUAUAUUUCUGGUGAACUUUCUUUCCAUGUGAUUGUUCCCCUCUAUAAAAGCAGCUUCUAUAGUUUCCCAAUCCAUCGGUCAAAGCUCAUUUCUUCUCUUGGGCACAGGCAUCAGCUUCAUUCUGUUCAUCGGAUUCAUGCCAAGUGGAAUGGAGCGUCUGAUUGGUCUGGUGGUGCUGUGCACAGUCCUGGCAUUGGUCCAUGGAAACUGUCAAAAGGGAGGUCUUGAUGUGGUCAUGAGCCCUGCAUCAAUCCGUGUAGCUGAAGAACUGAUGGUCUUUAAGAGAGCAACUUUGGUUUCUUUGUUGGAGAAUAUCUAACCCCUAUGGAUCUCGGGAACAAGAAGGCAAUAAACUAUUAGCUGGAAGUCA